rnacentral:rRNA from 1 species
UGCAAGUCGAGCGGACAGUAUGGGAGCUUGCUCCCUGAUGUUAGCGGCGGACGGGUGAGAACACGUGGGAACCUGCCUGAAGACUUGGGAUACUCCGGGAAACCGGGGCUAAUACCGGAUGGUUGUUUGAACCGCAUGGUUCAAACUAAAAGGUGGCUUCGGCUACCAGUUUACAGAUGGACCCGCGGGCGCAUUAGCUAGUUGGUGAGGUAACGGCUCACCAAGGCGACGAUGCGUAGCCGACCUGAGAGGGUGAUCGGCCACACUGGGACUGAGACACGGCCCAGACUCCUACGGGAGGCAGCAGUAGGAAAUCUUCCGCAGGUACAAAAGUCUGACGGAGACCGCGCUUGGAGUGAUAGAAUGGUUUUCGGAUAGAAAGCUCUGUUGUUGGGAGAAACAAGUACGGGGGGAAUAGGCGGUACCUUGACGGUAGCUAUCCCAAAAGCUAGGGCUAACUACUUGCCACCAGCCGCGGUAAUACGUAGGUGGCAAGCGUUGUCCGGAAUUAUUGGGCGUAAAGGGCUCGCAGGCGGUUUCUUAAGUCUGAUGUGAAAGCCCCCGGCUAACCCGGGGAGGGUCAUUGGAAACUGGGGAACUUGAGUGCAGAAAGAGGAGAGUGGAAUUCCACGUGUAGCGGUGAAAUGCGUAGAGAUGUGGAGGAACACCAGUGGCGAAGGCGACUCUCUGGUCUGUAACUGACGCUGAGGAGCGAAAGCGUGGGGA